rnacentral:rRNA from 1 species
AUGAUGCAGGGUUUCCUCAUGACCGCGCACGAGGAGCGGGAGCGGGGCGACAACAAGGUGGUCAAGAUCCGGGUGAAGCAGGUCCGCGACGUUGCCUACAACGUGGAGGACUGCCUCCAGGAUUUCGCCGUGCGUCUAGACAAGCAGUCCUGGUGGCGCCUCCCUCUGACGCUGCUGGACCGGCGGCGCGUCGCCAAGGAGAUGAAGGAGCUUCGAGCCAAAGUCGAAGAUGUCAGCCAGAGGAACGUGUGCUACAAUCUCAUCAAUACCACGGGCUCCAGGCCCGCUGCCCCUGGUACUGCUAGGCAGCCCAGCAUUGCAGGUGUGUAA